rnacentral:lncRNA from 12 species
GUGAACUUCAAAGGGCUAAAUACCAAUCAGAAGAUGGAAGAUGGCCACACAUAAAGCUACACUGCUUCUGCAAACCCCUUUAGUAGCCAGACAAGGUCACUGAUCAGGGACUUCUCAGAAACCAUCUGCAGUUUGGGAUGUACUGAGCUGGGAGUGACUGGACUUUGUUUCUCUGCCACAGCACAGAAGGCUCAGCAGAAAGAUUCAUUUAAAUACAAAGAGGAUAUAAGUAGCUUCCCAAAUUACUCCAGCCCU